rnacentral:rRNA from 1 species
AAGCGGUGGAGUAUGUGGUUAAUUCGAUGCAACGCGAAGAACUUACCUGGUCUUGACAUCCCGGAGACCCUUAGGAAACUAGGGGGUGCUUCCAUCUGGAAGAAUCUGGAGACAGGUGCUGCAUGGCUGUCGUCAGCUCGUGUCGUGAGAUGUUGGGUUAAGUCCCGCAACGAGCGCAACCCUUGCCUUUAGUUGCCAGCAGUUCGGCUGGGCACUCUAAAGGGACUGCCGGUGUUAAACCGGAGGAAGGUGGGGAUGACGUCAAGUCCUCAUGGCCUUUAUGACCAGGGCUACACACGUACUACAAUGGCCGAUACAAAGGGCAGCGACACUGCGAGGUGAAGCCAAUCCCGUAAAAUCGGUCUCAGUCCGGAUUGGAGUCUGCAACUCGACUCCAUGAAGUUGGAAUCGCUAGUAAUCGUGGAUCAGCAUGCCACGGUGAAUACGUUCCCGGGCCUU